rnacentral:rRNA from 1 species
GCCAGCAGUUGCGGUUAUACAAAUAAUAUAAUUUAAUUUUAUUGAUAAAAAUUAAUUGUAAAUAAUAAUUUUAAUAUAGAAUUUAAUAAGUGAAAUUUUAAAUUUUAUUUAAAAAUUUAAAAUUGUUGAUGAAGUUUAAAAAUUUAAAUUAUAAACUAGGAUUAGAUACCCUAUUAUUUUAAAUGUAAUUAAAAGUAUUGAAUUAGUAAUAGUUAUGUUCUUGAAAAUUAAAAAUUUUGGCGGUAUUUUAGUCUUUUCAGAGGAACCUGUUCUGUAAAUGAUAAUCCACGAUUUAAUUUACUUAUAUUAUUAGUUUGUAUAUCAUCGUAAUUAAAUAUUUUAUUAAAAUUAUAAAUAUUUAGAAUUUAAUAUUAUAAAAUUUAUCAGAUCAAGGUGCAAUUUAUAUAUAAGAAGUAAUGGGUUACAAUAAAAAUAUUUUUGGAUAAUUUUUAUUAUUAAAAAUUUAAAUUUGGAUUUGAUAGUAAUUUUAAUAAAUUAAUUAAAAUGAUUUUAGCUA